UACAGAGGUCCCAAGCGUUGUUCGGAUUCACUGGGCGUAAAGGGUGCGUAGGUGGUUAGGUAAGUCCGAUGUGAAAUCUCCAGGCUCAACCUGGAAAUGGCAUUGGAUACUAUCUAGCUUGAGGAGUGGAGGGGGGACUGGAAUUCUCGGUGUAGCAGUGAAAUGCGUAGAUAUCGAGAGGAACACCAGUGGCGAAGGCGAGUCCCUGGACACUUCCUGACACUGAGGCACGAAAGCUAGGGGAG
rnacentral:rRNA from 1 species